UCCGACCGGCUGAUCCCCUGUGGAAGGAGGCCUACCGACUGUUAAGAUACUGAAAAAAAGCGGUCAAGGUCCACAAGGUCUUCAGAGCCGUAGUAGGUGGAAUGGAGUGGAAGUUUUUGAUUUAAUUAAACCAAAUUUCAUUAAUGUGUGGCGUAUGUAAUUUCAGUAUUAAGUUUUAAAAACGUGUCGACAUAAGAUUUUGCAGUAAGUGGACAAUUAUGGUGUGUAGCAGCAUGUGUAAUGUUCAUCAUAUAUGUUCCUGUAGUUUGAAGCUGGCAGUAUGUAGAGUAUUCGUAUUUGUGGGCUGUUUCCGUCCUCAGAUUACAGGAUAAGGUAAGGAAUCCUAGCUGGUUGGGCCUCCUUCCCAGGCCACAGUUUAGUUAGUUAGUACCAAGGAAACAAUGAGUUUAUCGAACAGCAUGGUUUGAAGAAAGUGGGACUGCAGGCAGCGUUCAAAAUACCUAGUGAAAAGAUCAUUUGAAAAGGCAUCUGAAUAACCAACCUGUAGAUGGAUUAUUAUUAAUGAUCAUGUAAGCAUAGUAUAAUUGUUACUACUUGUUUGACAGUUCUGGAGAGGCGCCUGUGGAGAGACUGUCAUCACAACUGAUGUCAGAGCGAGACAGAAACACGUAACAGAUUCCCUGCCUCUGCUAUAUGUUCUAUGAUGACAUCCUGUGUGGGAGUCCUGGAAUGGUGGCAUCAGUGAAGGGUAGCUGUUGCCAGCAAUGAAGGCUGUCAAGUUUCUGAGUGAGCAGGAGCCACACGGCAUCUUCCUCUCUGUGGAUCCAUUAUAUUGGCAGUUUGGGAGCUGUAUCAGUGAAGAAAAUCUGUAUCGAGUUUGUGGGUGAGCAAGGAUUGUGCAGCUUCUACAAGGAGCCCCCUGUACCACAGGUGUCAUGUUGCAUUCACUCUUCUAAGCCAGCAUUUUUUGACCUUGUUACGUAGAUAUAGUAAAAUGUAAUUUCACUGCUUGAUAAAUUUUAGCAGCAAGAAACUCAGAAAAGACCCUGUUGCAAGUUUUCAAUUGAAUACAGGACAUGACUGCCUUGCAGCACAUCUUUGUAAGAUAGGAAUAUAUAACACAGAAGAGUGUACACUGUGCAACUUGCCAGGAUCAUCUAUGGGAAAAGAACACCUCCUUCAGUGCCCUAAUCUUAACAAGGAAAUGCAAUGUAGCAAGAACUUGAGUGCUCUCUAUUGGGAAGCAAGAAGCAAAAUGGGUUAAAUGAUCCCAAAUGCAGCCAUUGGAAAUCAACCAACCAGCCAGCCAAUAUCUCAUAUUACUUUCCCCCCCAGUUCAGUACUGUAAGGAAGUAAGCACGGCAUGUAGGGACCUUGUAUACAGGACAGGUGGUGAGGGGGGGAGAGGCUUUCAGGUAGUUAGUGUAGCAGCAUGUGUUUGGUCUCAUAUGCAGGGUUGUGACACAGGGUUAGUGAUUGGCGUGCUUUGUCUAACGGUAUGAAAAUAGAUUCCUACUUGAGCUCCUGCUUUCAGGUGGCAGCCUGUGUUAGGAGGAGCCACAUGUAGGCUCGGUUGGUGGCAUUCAUUAGAGCAGGGCAUCAGCCAGUCAGGAAAUAACAGCACUACCUAUUGUUAAUCCUCACCACUAAUGGAAGAAAAAUAAAACUCUUGCUGUAUUGUAUGUACAUCCCAGUAAUUUGUUGUGCCAUUUUGCAUUGCAGGCCAGAUCGUAGUCUGUACUUGAUGUGCUGGUGUAUGGGAGGCUUCUGAGAUGGUGCAGCCUCUGGA